rnacentral:lncRNA from 1 species
ACUUGCAAAGUCUCGGCUUAAUUCCUGGCGCUCCGAAGUCCACCUCCUUCCUGAGGCUGGUGGUUACUGUGCUAAUCAGCUAGGCCGCAGCGGCAAUGAGACAUGACCGCACGGGGAGGCGUGCCAGCCCCGUGUCACCGCGGGCCGCCCCAGCAGGCUCAACUGGGCACCAGGGGCCUGCGAGCCUGCUCGGGCCGAGCCGAGGGGUGGAAUUCGUGCUCAGGGGACAGACCUGCUCCCUCUGCUUCCCAACUCAGGGGUCCCAGGCCCGGAGCCCCGUCCUCACGGUGAGCUACGCGUGGAGGGGUGAGGCUCCCUGCGUGACUUCCCCGGGAGCCCGGAGCCUCGGGCAGGGGAUUGGAAGGGGCGGUGCGGACUCUGAGAAGCUGCUUCAGGCUGGUGCCUUGGCCUUCCGCUCUGAACCCUCCCCUCCGCCGGGCGGGCGCUCCCCUUGGAGGGCCAUGGACAAGGCCUGCCAUGAGGCUGAAGGCUUGCUCGGAGCCACGGCCACUGUCUCCGCAGCAAGUUCCCACCUCAUCAGAGGUGUUUCCAGCAAGAAGACUGCUUUGUAGAAGGCCGCAGGAGUGCCGGGGGGGGGGGGGGGGGGGGGGGGGGGGGGGCUGGGCCCUCCAGGCAGCUCUCCCCCUUCUCCCUGCUCUUCCUCAGGAUAUAGAAAUUUCAGUGUUACCCGCCCCACCCCCACCCAAGGAAAGGUGUCCCCUGCCCUCAGCCUCAGCCAGACCCCCUGAUGGGCCAAGUCCUUUGAAUGUGUUUUCUCUCUCCUUCCCUUCCUCUCCCUUCCCUUUUUCUUCCUUUUUUUUUUUUUUUUUUUAUAAAUAGUUUUUAUUUAUGGUCGGGCAAACUAUAACAAUAUUGAUGUAGAAAGCUUGGCUGAAUUUUAAAUGUUAAUUUAUUUAUUUUUGAGAGAGAGAGAGAGAGAGAGUAAGCAGGGGAGGGGCAGAGAGAGAGAGAGAGAGAGAGAGACAGAGAAUCCCAAGCAGGUUCCGCACCGUCAGCACGGAGCCCGAUGUAGGACUCGGACUCAGAACUGUGGGCUCAUGACAGGAGCCAAAACCAGGAGUCAGACACUUAACUGAGCCACCCAGGCUCCCCUCUUCCUUCUUUUUUUUGUUUUUUUAUUUUUUUUAAUGUUUAUUUAUUUUUGAGAGAGACAGACAGAGCAUGAGUGGGGGAGGGGCAGAGAGAGGGGGAGACACAGACUCCGAAGAGGCUCCGGGCUCCGAGCAGUCAGCACAGAGCCCGACGCGGGGCUCGAACCCACGAACCGUGAGAUCGUGACCUGAGCCGGAGUCAGGCGCUUAACCGACGGAGCCACCCAGGCGCGCCCCGACUCUCAACUGGCUCUGAUGAAGAAUUCGUCCUGGCUUCCUCUCUGUCUCCGGCACUGCGCCCCGAGCUCCGUGGGCUCCUCGGCUAGGGAGAACCAGCAUCCUCCAUGGUGCUUGCUGGGGACACAGCCUGGCAAACUGUAGCCACCCCUACUGUCGCCAUCCUCCCCCGUCACAGUGGGCAGGUGGUCCCCGUUUUACAAAGGGGGAAACUGAGGCUCAGUCCAUCCGGCCCCAAAGCGGCUCUCACUCUGAGCCAACAGGUGAAAAGUGAGGAAAUCAGGGCAGGACCGGCCCAGCACGAGAGUCUCAUUCCGGGUGAUGUGAGACACCCUCGCUCUCUCCCAGAGGGAAUUGUGGGUUGGGAUGUGGCCGGGUACCCCUGGGUGUCGGUCCCCCGCCCAGGCCUCACCCUCAGACCUCAAGGCUGCUGUCCGGCUUGACAGCCGGGGGAGGGGGGGGGGUGGGAGACACCCAAGCAUUCGCUGCUUCCUUCAUUCAUUCGCUUGGUGCCCUUCCGGGCUCAGCGCUGUGUUGUUCCAGGAGAGGGCCCGCCGGGUCGCGUGCGCAGGUUUGGGGGGAACAGGGAGCCACCUGGGCGGAGGCAGAGAACGUGGUGAGGAGAGCAGCGCCCAGUGGAGUCGGUGUGAGGGAGUCCGGGUGGAGAGGGGGCCCCGGCAGGGAAGGCCGUGCGGGAAUUGGAUGCCGCCCUGAGCAUUUGAGGAAUUUAUAGCAAAUCGCAGUAAAGACACACAGCGCGAAAUCUGCCACCUUAACCAUUUUUCUUUUUUUUCAAUUUUUUUUUUAACGUUUAUUUACUUUUGGGACAGAGAGAGACAGAGCAUGAACAGGGGAAGGUCAGAGAGAGAGAGGGAGACACAGAAUCUGAAGCAGGCUCCAGGCUCUGAGCUGUCAGCCCAGAGCCCGACGCGGGGCUCGAACUCAAGAGCCGCGAGAUCAUGACCUGAGCCGAAGUCGGACGCUCAACCGACCGAGCCACCCGGGCGCCCCAACCAUUUCUAAUUAUACAGUGCAGUGCUGUGACACCUGUCCCCGCUGUGGUGGAGCCUCACCCCCAUCGUCUCCUCUCCAGAGCUUCUUCAUGCCCCCGUGAACCACCCGCCCCCACCCCCUCCCCCUGCGCCUGCCCCCCUCCCCCCUUCCAAGCCGCUUUCUGUCUCUGUGAGUUUGAGUCCUCCGGGGACCUGGCGUAGGUGGAACCAGGCGGGAUUUGGCCUUUUGGGACUGGCUUAUUUCACUCCGCGGACCGUCUGCGAAGUCCGUCCGCGUCACAGCACGCAUCAGCUCGGUUUCUCCUUAAGACGGUCACGCUGCCCCGGGUGCUUGCGGCACAUUCAGUGUGACCCUUCAUCCACCCCGCGGACGGCUGGGUUGCUUCCACCUUUCGGCCCUGUGAAUGGUGCUGCUGGGAACAAGGGCCUGCGAGUAGGUUUGCCUCCCUUCGGGUGUGUCCCCAGACGGGGAAAUGCAUCCGAAAUCACAGAAGCUCGUGCCCAGUUUUGCAUUGCGGAAAAGCCCCUCGGCGGGGCCAUCCUGGAGGAUGUGCGAUGCUGGAGGCCGUGCCCCCAGGGUGCAGGCCCGGCGGCGGGGGGCGAGGCGAGGGGAAGAGACAAUGAGGCCGGAGCCAGGGGGAGGGGGUGGGGAUCAGGAUUGGGGGUCUUUCUCUGAGCCGCCUGGAUAAUACACUGGCUGCGGGCAGCUGGGCGGGCUGAGUGGCUGAUAAUGACACCAUUAUCCCAGAUGCAGGGUGCGAGGCCUCCCUGGUGGGCAGGGAGGAAGGGGGGAGAUAAUGAGUUCAAUUUGGCCGAUUUAAUAAUUUCUUCCUUCAUGAAUUCAACAAACAUUUCUGGAGGGUCCAUUAUGUGCUAAGCAGUGUGCCGGACGCCUGCAAACACAGGCGAGGGACAAAGAUUGCUGUCCCCUCUGCCCAGCCCAGCUGGGACCGCCGUGUCAACACACACUCAGGACGCAUUGAGACAAGAGGCGCCAUCCGCGGAGGGGGACACGCAUGUGUCCAAGGAAAGAGGGAAGGAAGUGUAGGGGUUUGCUGGGCGGGCAGGGGGCAGGCGUUGAGGCCUGGGAAAGCCACUCUAAGCCCAAAAGGCGAGGGACGGGCGUGAUGACAACAGAGCCCGUGUGUGCAGAGAGAAGGAGGGUCAGGAGGGAGGCAGGGUGGAGACCCUGGGGACCCACAGCCAGGCUGAGGGCUUGCGCUCGACCAAGGUGACAGGGAGCCACGGACUGUUCAAACGAGCACGUUGUCACCCUGGACAGAUGCCUGCACUGGGGUCCAGUUAGGGAGGCGCUGUGAACGGGCCGCUGAGGGGGUGGGGCCCGGCCGUGGUGCAGGAGAGCAAAGAGAAGCAGGGCAGGUGACCCCCCUGGAAACGCUGGGCUCAGGGGUGCAGAUCAGGGCGCGCCCCUCCACCUCCCCUUGAAAGACUCCCCCAGGACAGCGCCCUGCCCGCUGCUUACUGCCAUUUCCACCUGGGCCCAGUGCAGAAGAGAGAGUUCUGCUCUCACGCUGGCUCCGGCCGCCCCCACAGGGUUCGCUCGCCUCCCGAGGGGCCCUCCAGCCCUGUGACAGCAGGGCGGUGGGGUGGUGACCGCAGAGAGACUGUUGUGGGGUCGCUCCACGUCCACAGCCCACGAAGAUCCCCGUCCAGCGGGAGCUGUGACUUCAGCCCACGAAGAAGGAGUGACGGAACACGUCCCUCGGUGGGGUUGGGCAGCCAGGGUGAUGACAGAACACUGAUUAAGCCGGGGGUCCGUGACCCGGAGGCCGAGGGUCCCGGAGGGGCCGUGCACCUGCUCAGAGCGGGCCAUGACAGCGGUGUGGAGGUGAGCGGGCUCACUCUGGGAGGCAGAGGAUUAGCGCCGAUUCAGAGCGGGUCAGGUGCACGGGGGGCUUUGUUCGGACCUGUUUGCUUUUUGUCCCCGCCUGCAGAACGCCCAGGCUGCAUGAUGUCAUUUCAGACGCAUUAAGCUGGAACCGCUCAAAAUUGAAUAAUUAAUUACACUCAGCUUCAAUCGCGGUGACUAAUUGAUCGGGGGCCUGCCCGCAGACACCUGGACGGGAUUAGCUGCGCACAAUGAGGACUGUGGGCAGGUGGCAGGGCCCCUCGGGACCCCCGGUCCCCGUGUGGGACUUAAUUGGGACGGACUUGAUUUCUCUAUUCUUGCUAGAGAUCUCGGGCAGGCCCCACCCCCAGGACCAGG